AGUGAACGCUGGCGGUAUGCCUAACACAUGCAAGUCGAACGACCACACAUUAAGAUCUUGCUCUUACGGUUGGCGAGUGGCGGACGGGUGAGGCAUACAUCACAUUCUACUUUUUCGUGGAUAAUUUCGGAGGGCCACUUACACUACUACCUCAUAUGACCUACGGCUGAGAGCAGUAGUUCUUCGUACCUUUCCUGUCUCUAUUAGCCGAUGCCGCAUUAGCUAGUUGGCGGGGUAACGGCACACCUAGGCAACGAUCCGUAGCUUGUCUGAGAGGAUGAUCGGCCACACUGGAACUGAGACACGGUCCAGACUCCUACGGGAGGCAGCAGUAGGGAAUAUUGCGCAAUGGGCGAAAGCCUGAAGGAGCAACGCCGCGUGAGUGAAGAAGGUCUUCGGAUCGUAAAACUCUGUUAUUAGGGAAGAAAAAAAGUGUAAGUAACUGUGCAUGUCUUGACGGUACCUAAACAGAAAGCAACGGCUAACUACGUG
rnacentral:rRNA from 1 species